rnacentral:rRNA from 1 species
UGUCGUCAGCUCGUGUCGUGAGAUGUUGGGUUAAGUCCCGCAACGAGCGCAACCCUUAUUGUCAGUUGCCAGCAUUCAGUUGGGCACUCUGGCGAGACUGCCGGUGACAAACCGGAGGAAGGUGGGGAUGACGUCAAGUCAUCAUGCCCCUUAUGACCUGGGCUACACACGUGCUACAAUGGACGAUACAACGAGUCGCGAGACCGCGAGGUUUAGCUAAUCUCUGAAAGUCGUUCUCAGUUCGGAUCGUAGGCUGCAACUCGCCUACGUGAAGUCGGAAUCGCUAGUAAUCGCGGAUCAGCAUGCCGCGGUGAAUACGUUCCCGGG